GAUUAUCCUGAUUAAGGUUUUGCUCAAUUGAAAUAUAGUGAUACAUUAAUACUUAUGAUCUGGUGGGGUCAAUCCCAUCUUGACUCACACAUCGAUUUCGUAAGUACUUGACUGUAUCUAAUAGCCUUCCAUCAUUGUAUUAGAAAUACAAGUAGUCUGGUACCAAAGUAUAGUGAGUUGUUUAUAAGUCACCGUGGUGAUCUUAGGUCGAAGAGACACUUGUGCCCAUAUCCUUCACAAGCUGCUCUUGAUAGCAGAACGCUCCACAGUUUGGUCACUGUUCAAUGAUGAUGUAUUCUUAUAUCUCACCUGUAUGCCAUACUAGUGUCUCCACACUUCUUGAUUAAGAGGACAACCAACCCAUAUGGCAUACAAUGACCUUCACUUGAUAAAUAUUAUCAUCUUUAUUAAUAACGUAUUAUUUGAUCACGAACAAGUUUAAGAGCUACUCGAUUAAUCCUCCUUUAUCGAUAAAAUAUGGUUCUAUGGACUUCAUUAUAACAUAGGAGUUCA
rnacentral:lncRNA from 1 species